UAGGACUUUUGCUUGCCUUGUGGACUUUGCACCUGCUCACUCCUUUGGAUUUAUUUGCCUGUACUGACUUCCUGCCUGCCUACGGAACUCCUGAGUUAAAAACCCAGUGAGGCUGAUCAGCAUGGACAGUUCUGUCGGAGAGGAAACAGGAGAGGAGACAGGAGUGACACAACUGUGGCCUCCUGCUGGGAAAGAGAGCAGGCUAUUACCACCUGGUCAGGCGGGGGCCAGGCUGCCUGUGGAAUACAGAGAGCACUCCUUGACUUUUACAUCAAAAAGACACCUCAGAGAAAGUCCUCAGAGCCGUGGGCACCAUGGAUCUCAGGGGCUGCACCACAUAAGGAGUACAGUCGAAUCGUUGUUUUCAUCUUUCUCUCUGGUCUUUAUUAAUGGUGACAGGAUUAUAAUUCAGCGAGCUGUGCUGAGUUCACUGAUUCUAAUCACACUCGCUUGUUUCAGACAAUGGGAGUGUAUGGUGAGUGGACAUUUCAUAUAGAGAAAGCAGGCUGUGGCGAUUUGAGAAGCCCAUGUUGGGUCAAAAAUUCUUAAAACAUUAACAACAUUAAAUGUUUUCACAGUUUAGCAAUCUCUUUCCUUUGUUCAGCAAUCCAUUCUCUCAGUAUACAGAUUGCUAAACCUUAGGCACAGUUUACAAACCAUGCAAACAGAUUUGUAGAGUGAGAGCACAUAUAAUCCUGUCACCAUUAAUACAUUAACAACCAAUUUUUUUCACCGUACAUUGACUAUACUUCUAAUUAGCAAGGUUUCUAUCCAUAGUUAGUGUCCAUCUUAAACCAAGAUCUAGACAAUCUAUAAAAGAAAAUGAUAAUUCAUGUGUCCAUUUGCUACUAUUAAUGUGUGGCAGGAGUUGGUGGCUUAAAGUGUCCUGACAGAAAGCGGUUUGUACUUUGGUGGGUGCAGUAUAGUUGCUUUCAAGUUGCUUACAAAAUUUGCAGCCAUUGGAGUCCAGUCAUUUAGACAGCAAAAUUGUAAAUGUGAAAAAAUGAUGUUUUGACAUGACAACUUUCACUGGAAUUUCAGGUAGGACAUGAAGCAUAAGGAUGCUUUUCAGUAACACCAAAUUGUUUUAAUUAUUCAACAUAUCAUCACAUUCACCUCCAAUGAGAACUUCACAUGUGAGGUGAAAAUUCACAUGAGCCGAUGCAAAUGAAGACCUUUUUGAUCUGACAGUCAAAAUUGAUGGGUGGAUCCUUAGAUCACUACUCUGGUGUGAUGAGAGAUGAGAGAAAAGAAAUUUGAAUUUCAAAUUUCUAUCUUGUUAGGUGCUGUGUGGCACAGGUAGAUACAGUGGUGCUGAGAGUGGACAGUCAAUAUUAGGUAUAUUCGAUAGAUUGCCAUUUUAAAAACCUUGCUGGAAUCAUUUUUGUUGGAGAACAUUAGGGAAUAUGAUUGUGCAAUACCAACCUCUCAGCGCCUCUCCUUCUCAAUAUCUUAAUACCAUUCCUGUUCAUAUAGCACAACAGGUCAACCUUUCAGACUUUGUGGGCCUUAAGGGCUGAAAAUAUUUUGCAUCUAAAUGUAUUAUUUGUAAUGUUUCAGAGUUCAACAGCAUGCAUAAGCAUAAAAAGGACGGUGUUUAUAUACCAUCGCCUUUAGUGUGUUCUUAUUGAUCAAAGUUGACAGCUACACAUGUUGGAUAAAGAGAAACAUCAUGAUGAUGUAUUUUUGUUGCAUUAUUUAUCAUG